rnacentral:rRNA from 1 species
UAUGAACGCUGGCGGCGUGCCUAAUACAUGCAAGUCGAGCGAACGGACGAGAAGCUUGCUUCUCUGAUGUUAGCGGCGGACGGGUGAGUAACACGUGGAUAACCUACCUAUAAGACUGGGAUAAUUUCGGGAAACCGGAGCUAAUACCGGAUAAUAUUUUGAACCGCAUGGUUCAAAAGUGAAAGACGGUCUUGCUGUCACUUAUAGAUGGAUCCGCGCUGCAUUAGCUAGUUGGUAAGGUAACGGCUUACCAAGGCAACGAUGCAUAGCCGACCUGAGAGGGUGAUCGGCCACACUGGAACUGAGACACGGUCCAGACUCCUACGGGAGGCAGCAGUAGGGAAUCUUCCGCAAUGGGCGAAAGCCUGACGGAGCAACGCCGCGUGAGUGAUGAAGGUCUUCGGAUCGUAAAACUCUGUUAUUAGGAAAGAACAUAUGUGUAAGUAACUGUGCACAUCUUGACGGUACCUAAUCAGAAAGCCACGGCUAACUACGUG